GUCUCAUCUCCCAGGACACCCCCCUCCCCACCGGGCCUGGGAAGGAUUAGGAGGGCCCUGUCCAGUGAAUUCCUUGGCCUUCUCAUUCAAGUCUGGUUGCCUGUUUGUUCAUUUGUCUUUCACAUGGGACCCUGAGCUCCAUACAUGCAGGGACCAGGGCUUGCUUGUCUGUGCAUCUCCGGCGCUUGUGACAUGUCAUACUCAAGAGAGCUGAGGCCGACCAGCUGAACGGAGGAUGCCCUAGCAAAGCACCUCAUGUGGGCCACAGGUCACUGUCUGGGUGGUCAGGAUGGUGGCUCAUGGGGGCAGCACCCACAUGGGGAUGACACGUGGAGUGAAGUGUCCACCUGCCUGUGUCCACCCAGUGAGGCUGGGAUGAGACCCUGUGGAUGGAUGGCUGGUGACACUUGGGAGCAGCCGCAGACAAGCCGAUCACUCAGAGACUUAGGGCUCACUGGGGAGGCGUGAGAUUUCCUUUAGUCCUUGGACACCAAGUGAACACCACUCUACACCCGUAUCCAGCAUUGAUGACAAAGAAGACAGAUCCCAAGAAAGGGCUGGUGGGGGUUACACCAUGGCAGGAAAGUUCCUGGGAUUGGGAAUGAGCUAGACUCCACCUAUUGGUUGUGUGACUUGAGAAAGCAACUUAAUCUCUCCAACCUCAUUCAUUCGAUAACUACUCAUCAGGUACUCGCUGCAUGCCAAGCAUUGUUAGAGACUUUCGAUGCAGCCUUUUCUACAAAAUAGGGAUUUUUACCACCUACCUAAUAGGACUGAUGUUAAGUCCAUAAGACAUAAAGCAAUGACUAUAGUACCUGGCCCUCAAUUAAGGUGAGUUAUAAUCUCCUACUAACAUACCUCUCCUUUUGGAAAUUGGGGGUCGGGGUGUGAUGGACAAGAAGCAAGUCAAUUCAAAGCCUGGCAUUCAAGAGAAAAAUACCUAAUGGGUGACAAUAGCAAAUUCCCAGCCAUUUUGCUCUCUUAUUUGAAAAGAACAGACCAGGCAGGGUUUGGAAUGACCAAAAGUUAAGGCAACAAGUGCAGUGGCAAGGACACCAGGCCUAGUCUGCCCCGCUGUCUUGCUGUGUGACUUAAGUUAAAAGCUUUGCCCUCUCUGUUCCUGGCUUUCCUCAUCUGUCAGAGGAAAAUAAUAAUAUCUGCCCUGCUUAGUCCUCAUCGUAGUAACAUAAAACAUAAGAAUGUAUCUUAAUAUGAUAAUGUAAAACUUAAGUUAUCUGUGAUGCUUAAGUUAAUGUAUCUGAAAGUGCUUUGAAAAAUACAAAAUGUCUUAGUCCAUUUGGGCUGCUAUAACAAAAUACCUUAGACUGGGUAAUUUAUAAACAAAGUUGUUGCCCAUAGUUCUGGAUGCUGGGAAGUUGGAAGAUGAAGGUCCCAGCAGACUCGGUGUCAGUCGAGGGCCUGUUCCUCAUAGAUGGAAGUUGGAAGAUGAAGGUCCCAGCAGACUUGUUGUCGGUCGAGGGCCUGUUCCUCAUAGAUGGAACCUUCUACCUGUCUUCACAUGGUGCAAGGGAUGGACAAG
rnacentral:lncRNA from 10 species